UCCUGGUGCCAGCUCAUACACAGCCUGGAGAGGGUAGGUGCAUCACACACGUAGCAGACAGCGCAUGCUGAGCUGCAUCCAGCACCUGCAGUACUACAUGUGCGUCGAGGUCAUCGAGCCCUCCUGGUGCCAGCUCAUACACAGCCUGGAGAGGGUAGGUGCAUCACACACGUAGCAGACAGCGCAUGCUGAGCUGCAUCCAGCACCUGCAGUACUACAUGUGCGUCGAGGUCAUCGAGCCCUCCUGGUGCCAGCUCAUACACAGCCUGGAGAGGGUGAACAACGUGGACGAGGUGCUGGAGCGCCACAGCGACUUCCUGGAGCAGUGCCUGGGCGACUGCAUGCUCACCAGCCCGCAGCUGCUCAAGGCCGUCACUACGCUGUGCCAGGUCUGCGUGCAAUUCUGCGCCUUUAUACAGGAGAUGCACAAGUACUUCGUGGACGCAGAGCUAAACAGUAUGCUCGGAUCAUCGUAUGACAGUUCAGACUAUAGCGAGGAGCCGGGGUGCGGCGGGCCGGGCGCGGGCGGCGGCUCGGCGGACUCGUUCUCGCGCUCCGUGGCGCGGUACUCGCUGCGCUUCACGGCCGCGCUGCUGUCCGUGCUCGCCAUCACCGACCAGAUGGUGCGCGACACCAACGCCAACAAGCUCCUCAACAUCUCCUCCAGGUAUGCUCCUCCUCAGGUACAGUAUGACACUCGUUCUCGCGCUCCGUGGCGCGGUACUCGCUGCGCUUCACGGCCGCGCUGCUGUCCGUGCUCGCCAUCACCGACCAGAUGGUGCGCGACACCAACGCCAACAAGCUCCUCAACAUCUCCUCCAGGUAUGCUCCUCCUCAGGUACAGUAUGACACUCGUUCUCGCGCUCCGUGGCGCGGUACUCGCUGCGCUUCACGGCCGCGCUGCUGUCCGUGCUCGCCAUCACCGACCAGAUGGUGCGCGACACCAACGCCAACAAGCUCCUCAACAUCUCCUCCAGGUAUGCUCCUCCUCAGGUACAGUAUGACACUCGUUCUCGCGCUCCGUGGCGCGGUACUCGCUGCGCUUCACGGCCGCGCUGCUGUCCGUGCUCGCCAUCACCGACCAGAUGGUGCGCGACACCAACGCCAACAAGCUCCUCAACAUCUCCUCCAGGUAUGCUCCUCCUCAGGUACAGUAUGACACUCGUUCUCGCGCUCCGUGGCGCGGUACUCGCUGCGCUUCACGGCCGCGCUGCUGUCCGUGCUCGCCAUCACCGACCAGAUGGUGCGCGACACCAACGCCAACAAGCUCCUCAACAUCUCCUCCAGGUAUGCUCCUCCUCAGGUACAGUAUGACACUCGUUCUCGCGCUCCGUGGCGCGGUACUCGCUGCGCUUCACGGCCGCGCUGCUGUCCGUGCUCGCCAUCACCGACCAGAUGGUGCGCGACACCAACGCCAACAAGCUCCUCAACAUCUCCUCCAGGUAUGCUCCUCCUCAGGUACAGUAUGACACUCGUUCUCGCGCUCCGUGGCGCGGUACUCGCUGCGCUUCACGGCCGCGCUGCUGUCCGUGCUCGCCAUCACCGACCAGAUGGUGCGCGACACCAACGCCAACAAGCUCCUCAACAUCUCCUCCAGGUAUGCUCCUCCUCAGGUACAGUAUGACACUCGUUCUCGCGCUCCGUGGCGCGGUACUCGCUGCGCUUCACGGCCGCGCUGCUGUCCGUGCUCGCCAUCACCGACCAGAUGGUGCGCGACACCAACGCCAACAAGCUCCUCAACAUCUCCUCCAGGUAUGCUCCUCCUCAGGUACAGUAUGACACUCGUUCUCGCGCUCCGUGGCGCGGUACUCGCUGCGCUUCACGGCCGCGCUGCUGUCCGUGCUCGCCAUCACCGACCAGAUGGUGCGCGACACCAACGCCAACAAGCUCCUCAACAUCUCCUCCAGGUAUGCUCCUCCUCAGGUACAGUAUGACACUCGUUCUCGCGCUCCGUGGCGCGGUACUCGCUGCGCUUCACGGCCGCGCUGCUGUCCGUGCUCGCCAUCACCGACCAGAUGGUGCGCGACACCAACGCCAACAAGCUCCUCAACAUCUCCUCCAGGUAUGCUCCUCCUCAGGUACAGUAUGACACUCGUUCUCGCGCUCCGUGGCGCGGUACUCGCUGCGCUUCACGGCCGCGCUGCUGUCCGUGCUCGCCAUCACCGACCAGAUGGUGCGCGACACCAACGCCAACAAGCUCCUCAACAUCUCCUCCAGGUAUGCUCCUCCUCAGGUACAGUAUGACACUCGUUCUCGCGCUCCGUGGCGCGGUACUCGCUGCGCUUCACGGCCGCGCUGCUGUCCGUGCUCGCCAUCACCGACCAGAUGGUGCGCGACACCAACGCCAACAAGCUCCUCAACAUCUCCUCCAGGUAUGCUCCUCCUCAGGUACAGUAUGACACUCGUUCUCGCGCUCCGUGGCGCGGUACUCGCUGCGCUUCACGGCCGCGCUGCUGUCCGUGCUCGCCAUCACCGACCAGAUGGUGCGCGACACCAACGCCAACAAGCUCCUCAACAUCUCCUCCAGGUAUGCUCCUCCUCAGGUACAGUAUGACACUCGUUCUCGCGCUCCGUGGCGCGGUACUCGCUGCGCUUCACGGCCGCGCUGCUGUCCGUGCUCGCCAUCACCGACCAGAUGGUGCGCGACACCAACGCCAACAAGCUCCUCAACAUCUCCUCCAGGUAUGCUCCUCCUCAGGUACAGUAUGACACUCGUUCUCGCGCUCCGUGGCGCGGUACUCGCUGCGCUUCACGGCCGCGCUGCUGUCCGUGCUCGCCAUCACCGACCAGAUGGUGCGCGACACCAACGCCAACAAGCUCCUCAACAUCUCCUCCAGGUAUGCUCCUCCUCAGGUACAGUAUGACACUCGUUCUCGCGCUCCGUGGCGCGGUACUCGCUGCGCUUCACGGCCGCGCUGCUGUCCGUGCUCGCCAUCACCGACCAGAUGGUGCGCGACACCAACGCCAACAAGCUCCUCAACAUCUCCUCCAGGUAUGCUCCUCCUCAGGUACAGUAUGACACUCGUUCUCGCGCUCCGUGGCGCGGUACUCGCUGCGCUUCACGGCCGCGCUGCUGUCCGUGCUCGCCAUCACCGACCAGAUGGUGCGCGACACCAACGCCAACAAGCUCCUCAACAUCUCCUCCAGGUAUGCUCCUCCUCAGGUACAGUAUGACACUCGUUCUCGCGCUCCGUGGCGCGGUACUCGCUGCGCUUCACGGCCGCGCUGCUGUCCGUGCUCGCCAUCACCGACCAGAUGGUGCGCGACACCAACGCCAACAAGCUCCUCAACAUCUCCUCCAGGUAUGCUCCUCCUCAGGUACAGUAUGACACUCGUUCUCGCGCUCCGUGGCGCGGUACUCGCUGCGCUUCACGGCCGCGCUGCUGUCCGUGCUCGCCAUCACCGACCAGAUGGUGCGCGACACCAACGCCAACAAGCUCCUCAACAUCUCCUCCAGGUAUGCUCCUCCUCAGGUACAGUAUGACACUCGUUCUCGCGCUCCGUGGCGCGGUACUCGCUGCGCUUCACGGCCGCGCUGCUGUCCGUGCUCGCCAUCACCGACCAGAUGGUGCGCGACACCAACGCCAACAAGCUCCUCAACAUCUCCUCCAGGUAUGCUCCUCCUCAGGUACAGUAUGACACUCGUUCUCGCGCUCCGUGGCGCGGUACUCGCUGCGCUUCACGGCCGCGCUGCUGUCCGUGCUCGCCAUCACCGACCAGAUGGUGCGCGACACCAACGCCAACAAGCUCCUCAACAUCUCCUCCAGAUUAAAUUUCAACACGUACUACGCGAAGCAGCUGGAGAAGUUCUGCAGCGACGACAAGAUGCUGGACGGCGACAAGCCGGCCGCCUCCUAGCGCCGCGCCGGCCGCGCGCGCCGCCGCGUCACGCGCGUGUGAGUGUGAGCGGCGCGGGGGACCGGCAGGCGCUUGCAGGUGGCCCAUAGAUACGUUCACUAAAUAACAUUAUUUUUACUUAUAGUCGUUCGUUUUGAAGCUGGCCCCGAGCGGUUAAUCUUUUGUCUAUUGUUAACUAAAACCGCGCGUGCCCCUACCUGCUAAAAAAAGGGUCGUAUAAUUCUAAUAGGCACCUGAGCGCGGGCUAGUCCAACGCUCAAAAACCAGUGUAGGUGUGCUCUCCGAUAACGCGCCUUUGUUCCGCAUAUCGAGGACACAUUUUAGGCUGGUUCGGUAGCGUUCGACUCGCCGGCACUCAGUAACCGUAUAGGGACCACACAAGAACUCGCAAUUCAUUUUUCCAUUUGUUAAUUUUGAAUCUUAUUUCAAUUACCAUAGGAGUUGUGAUUAAAUAAUUGGUUAAAGGGACCGGGCCCUCUUUUUGCAGGUAGUGGCACGUGCCGUUUUAGUUAACAGUGGACAAAGGAUAAGCCGUUGGGGGCCAGCUACAAAUCUAACAACUAUACAUGUGUAUUUUACAAAAGUCAUUAAAAAUAAAAAUUAUUAUCUUCAAAUCCUCUUUUGGAUUUGAUAUAAAACGCAAACGUUUGUUAAAUUAGAGAUGGGCCGAAUAAGUAUUUGGUAAUUAUUCGGUAUUUGGCAUAUUCAACAAGUUUCCUAAUGAUCGUAUUCGGCCCAAAAAAUUUUUAUUACUGAUUGUUGCAGCACUGUAAAAGCACCUCUAGAACUUUUCAAGUCCUCUCUCCCAUCAGAUUACAUUUCUCGUUGUCAUUUAAACACAUUGAUGAGACAUGUUGAGUCCAUAGAAUGUUUUGAGUGUUCGGAGAGUGUUGAAUAUUCGUAUUCGGCAAACUCCAUAUUCGUCCCAUGUCUAGUUAAAAUUAUUACCAAUACACCGCACUAAAUAUAUUUGUCAACGUAUCUUCGGGCCACCCCGCCAGCAAAAGCCGUGUGUUUUAUCUAUUGACUAUGUGGGCGAUGCUGGCGGCGUCUGAUGGUGAGGAAACAUUCCCUAUUUGACGGACGAUUUGAAAUCAGAAAAAAUAUAACAUUAACUAAAUAAAAUGAACGAGCCACAAAAGACAAUUAAAUAUCCAAAGUUUCGUCAUUCGGCUAGCGCCAUUAAAAAAAAAAUACAAGUAUGUUACUAAGUGCGCAAUUCGGUGUAUUCCCAUUUGUACCCGCCCCACGGGACCGCCGCCACACAUGAAGCGGGAACAGGCGGGAAUGAUUCAUAUGAACGCACCUGUCCCUAUCUGGGCACGGAAUGGAGUAAUGGGAAUACACCCGCAGUUUCCAAUUUUUGUACAGUUCGCACAUAAACUAUACUCCUAAAGUUUAACGCUCGACUACGUUGUGUACAGAUCAUUUAGGUGUGUAUAGGAGUUUAAAAACUCUAAACUGAUAUUCUCAGAUUAGAAAGAGUAAACUGACAGGAGUUGGAAAAUAUUGUUACGACACCCCACACCCUCGUUGAGCUCUGAAAUAGGGUCUCAAACCCGUUAAUAUUUAGGUCCUACUGAGCAACUAACGCAGUACUCAUAUUAAAUACACGCCAGUAACUGUCAGUUUACUUGAAUAUACUGGAUAGGAAUAUACUGUAUUAUCUUGCAUUAGACCAACUAGCUAGAGAGACCAACAGUUCACCUAUAAAUCGUACCGUAGCAGCCGACAGGCCAGACGUGUCAAGACGUGUUAAGAUCACAUGUAUGUUGCUAAACCAGAGAUGCGGUUUAGUGUAGCGUUGUCGUAAGUUCAAGUGGUCAUUUUGUAAAAUGUCACAAAACAGUGUCGUUGCCAAUUAUAGAAAAAAAAGGCCCGUUAAUAAUCAGGGCCAAUUAAAAUCUUCACAUAACAAAAUUAUUGCACGUUAAAAUGAACAGUAGUUUAGUGACCGUAUUUGUAGUCUAAUGUGUUUUGGUAGAAUCCAGCUCAGCAGCGUGAAAAAUAGCAAUUUUAUCUGAUUGGAAUAAAAACCCCUAACCACAUAAUAACAAUAAGCUGUAGGCAUGACUAAACUCUUUUUUUUUCUUAAAUAUAACAAUUCUUAAAUAAAUGAUAGACAAAUGUAAAAUAAGAAAUCUCCUAAAUAUAACUACAGCAAUAAUGUAGGUACACGUUACUAGUGGUUACAAAAGUACAAAUUAAUCGUAGAAUCUCAUUGUCAUAUUUUUAUACAUUAUUAACUAACACAAACGGGACUUAAUCGCGUAUUAAGUUAAAAUUUACCUCCGACGUUUCGAGGACGGCGUUGUCCCCUUGGUCUCGGAGAAGACUGGCUAAAGUUGACAUCAACAUCUUCUAGCCGCGCGAGUUUUUCGAACUACCCGCACUUGAUCUUGUUUAUUAACUUGAACAUUCUGCGCACUAGGGAUGUUACUCUGUCGACACACAACACUAACGAUAUUCGAUUUUUCGACUGUUUCCGACAAAUUUUUUCGACUAAUGACUGGAUUCCAUGUGGAUGAGAUCCCCAAACCCUCGUCCCGAUUGAAAUUGCAAUGUUUUUUUAUUUCAAUGGCUUCCCGCACUUUUCUGCUGUAGAAAUGGCGAUCCGUGGCCGUCCUCGAAACGUCGGAGGUAAAUUUAAAACUUAAUACGCGAUUAAGUCCCGUUUGUGUUAGUCAAUAAUGUGUAAAAAUCGUGAAAGUUUAAAUCAUAUUUUUAUAGUUACAAUAGUUUUUCACGGAAAUGAACUAAAUCAGGUCUCUCCCAUAUGUUUUCGAAAUUCGAUACAAUCAAUUUGACAACGAUCAUAGUAUUUUUGAUAUUAAAUUCAGUAUUCUCAUUAUCUGUUAGCGAUAUAGUACACAUAUUAAUCGAUAUUAUCGACUAAGUCACAAACUAACUUGCCAUUGUAGUUUAUAAAUAUAAUAAAGACCAUGACAUUAGGUAGUAAUAAACGUAUCGAUCUGUUGUGAAAUGUUCUUCCAGAUUCGUGUGUUAGUAUAAUGUCCACUUUUGACCGUCACAGACCACGGGUAGUUUAAGGGGGUCCCCAACGUCAAUGACCUUCGAUCUGAAUCCCUUAGUUUUCUAAUGUUUUUUGUAGCUUAUCAUAUUAACAGCAACGGCUGUAAGCAAUAUAGUAUACCAUAUUUACUUCAAAGUUCACUGUCUUCGAGAUAUUUGGCAUCAAAGUUUAACAAUUUUAGGCCAAGAAACUGGUUUACUGGUCGUACCUUUUUUAUUAAUGACUUUAAAAUUAAAAUCUCUGACCACUUUUUAGAGACAUCGAAGAUUAAUCCAAAUGUGUAGAUUUCGCAAAUGUAGAAUCCUUACGAGCAAUCGAGUAACGAAAAAAAGUGUUUUUUUAGACAAAGUUUAAAAAAAGUGUUCGUUUCUUUCAAAAUCCGGCAGACCAGAAUGGAGAUAAAAGAUUAAAGAACCGAUAGCCGUUUGUCUUAUAAUUCUAGCUAUAGUUCAAAUGUAGGAGUAACGACUCAAAACUAGUCAAAAAACGAUGUAUACCGCGGGGAGCCCCUUAAAAUGACCCCCCAUGCAUUCCAAUACGGUUGACUAUUGCGUGUAUAUCUAAAAUGGUCGUGGCGCUCAAAAGGUUUUUUCCAUUACAUUUUAAUUCUUUAAAAUAAGGGCUUAAUUAUUAGUCUGUUUUCACAUAAUGAGAAUGUUGCAUUUUAUCCACAUGUGUGGCAAAGUAAACAAACGCAAAUUUUGAGUUGUUUUCUUAGGUUUGCUGGUAAAAUUUAUAUUUUAGAGUUAGUAUUUUCCUUGCAUUGGUGUGGUGAAAAAUUUUGUGUUUCACUCGGUGACAAAAUUUGUUUAACCCCCGUGCCAUGAAACCCUCGCAACGCUCAAGAUUCCACUUUUUGAACCACUCACUACGCUCGUGGUUCACUUUUGGAAUAUUUCGCUUGCUCGUGAAUCAAUAUUAACGCGAGAAGUUAACAACUUUGCUUAAUUAUAAACCAUAGUUAUUUGUUUAACAAGGGGGCAAAGUGGAAUCUAGGGGUGGUGCUACUAAUUUCCGGAAAUCGUUUCCCUACGAAUUUCUUACCAUUCGCACAUUUUCCCAUUAUAUUUAUAUUUUAAUAGCUUCGUUAGCGUGUUUACCGGAACUGCGAGAAACUAUUUCUAUUAAGAAAUUGUUACUCCAUAUAAUAAUAUUAUUUCUGCAAGACUCGGUCACAUCACUAGGCGACGUCAAGUCACGCUAUUGGCGUGGCUUGCUAUGCUAUUUGCUGUCGUAGUACAAUGUUCGCGGCCUAACGCCAUCUAGCGGGCAUCCUACGAAGAGGCGGAGUUCCAAGCACGGCCGCGCGGGGGCGCGGCGAUAGCCUCGCCACUUUACCACCUCAUACGACACGGCGCACAAGCCGCUCUCGCGAUUAUUUUGCAUUUUUAUAUAGAAUCGCCAUACAUACCAGUUUUUUGUUAAUUUCGUUUAAUUUAAUUAUAAAUAAAACAAGUUUGUAAAAUCAAAAAUAUGAAGAAAUCAUUGAAGGGACCCGUCUGCAGCUCGUGAAAGUACCUCUAAAUUCGCUAACCUCCCAAACAUAUAACAUAAUGUUGUUUAUUUUAACCUGCUAUUCAUAGUUGAAUUAUAAUAAAGACAUACAAUAAGAGCGUACUCCCAUCUUAAAGGCCGGCAACGCACUUACAACCCCUCUGGUGUUGCAGGUGUCUAUGGGCGGCGCUAAUCGCUUACCAUUAGGUGAUCCGUCUGCUCGUUUGCCUCCUCUACCAUAAAAAAAUACAAUAAAGUAAAAGGGCAAAAUAAAAUAAUGCAAAUACGAACAAAGAAAUAUUUAUUAAAGAGUUUUUGAUAAAUUAAGUUUGGACGGCAAAUGACGUCGGUGGCGUGAGUGGCACAGAAUAUCGACGCGGUAAUUUGCCGUCUUUGGCGGUCAAAAGGUUAAAGAGCCAUAUGUACUGUAAAACGUACGACACACGUGCGAAUAGGUAAUUCGCAACAUGUGUCGAUUUAAAACACUCCCUUCGGUCGUGUUUUAAUUUAUCACCACUCGUUGCGUAUUUCCUAUUUUCUGCACUUGUAUCGUAAAUAACUAUUACAGUACAUAUGGCGCUACUUUACCGCACUAGUGCGAUAAUUAGCACAUUACGUAACUAUGUCGAAAAUUUAAAGGGCCAUAUGCACUGUAAAACGUUUUAUCGUACAUACAUGUACGAAUAGGUCGUGUCGAUUAAAAACACUCCCUUCGGUCGUGUUUUAAUGUAUCGCCACUCGUUUCCAAUUUCCUAUUUUUGCACAUGUAUCGUAAUGUACUAAUUAUAUCAUAAUAGGUAGGUAAAAGUACUAUGCAUAAUCGUAGAAUACUUCGCUCAUGACUCACAUUUUUAAUUUGAAAAUGAAAAAUGAUUUAUUUAGGUAUCAAAAUUGUAGCUUUUUACACAGUAGAAGAGUAUUACAUUUUUUAUGAGCAUUCUAUUGGUAGAUAGCCUAGGAAUAGUGUCCUGAGCCCUAAACUAGGUAAACCUGUCUUAUAGGGAUCAGGGAACCACCGCUAUUUCUAGAAAUGCAGCAAAGGUUGGUUGGGUACACAAAUCUAAAAAUUGGAUAAUCAUUUCGCUUAAUUAUAUACGUAUUUAUACUUAAAGCCCGCGGAGGUAGCUGCGUUUCUGGUACUAUCGGGUAAGCCAUUGUGAACAGACGGUCCUGCGCAGUAUACAGAUCGCUGGGGCUUGGCGAGUCUGUGCGGUUCGGCGAUCAGUCUGGUUUUAUGCGCAUUGCUACGGAGAUGGAAGUUAUCGUGUUUCCUUGAGUUUGAAGUUGUUUAAAUUUUCGUGUGUAAACACCGCCACUGGUGAACUGCGACCAAAAUAUUGCCGACAUAUUUUUAUUGUACGAUAUUGAUGUACAUUACAAAAAAAUAUUAUUGUAUAAUAAGAAAAUUAUGCGAAAAUGGUUAGAAAACCUAUCAGGAAAAUAAGCUUUAGUAAAAUUAAUAUUAGGAAAAUAUAGGAAUGUUUAGAAAUUUGGGGAAAGGAAGCUAUUGAGAAAAUAAAGUGGCAAAAUGUUGCUAAUGGAAAAAAAUAUGACAAAAAUAUCGCCAUUCUCGCAUCUAAAGUCUUGCGAGGAUUGAAAGGGUUAAACAAAAUUUUCUUCCGAGUGAAACGCAAAAUCUUUUACUACACCACUGCGAGGAAAAUACUAAGUAAAUGUGAAAAAUUAUAAAUGAAAUCCAAAUGAACGUUAUUAAAUAUCACUGAUAAGUCAAUUCCACCAGCCAACAUAAGGAAAUAAACUCAAAAUUCGCAUUGAAUUACUUUGUAACUCUUGUGGAUAAAAUGCGACUUUCUAUCAGUAAGGAAUAAAGAGAGCCCUUACGAGCUGGUGUGGUGAAAACAAUUUGUUGAUUAUUAUUGUAUAAUUGAUUUGAAAGAUUAAGGAAUUUUCUUCUAUUAGCAGAAAUACCUGACAAUUAUAAUGUUACCUCGUUAUUUAGCAUUAGAAAAAAAAUCUCAGAAGCGUGUGUAUGAAAAUGAAAUAAUAUUUAUUUGUUGUAAACAGCACAAGAAUUGUUACUCAUUAGUUACUUAAAAAUUAUACGGCGUGCUGUGCCUAAUUUAGAACCUCGUGCUCAUGCGUACUUUGCAGUUUUUUUUCUAAUAUAUAUAUAUAUAUAUAUAUAUAUAUAGUCCUCCUCAUCGUUUUCGAUGACGGCGACCCCAAAUAAACACAUUAUGGACGUUGUCUAGCGUGAGCCCUAAUGUGGCUGGCCAGGAUUAUAUAUGUUCGGUUCGUUUUUUCUAAUAAAAACGAGAUGUAAUAAUUAUCCGUCUGCGAAAAACCAUGUUUUUUUAUAGUGUGUAUUAUUGUGGCAUCCAAUUAGGUAUUGAAGAACCGUGUUGCUUAGCUUACUAAAUGUUAGUUGACCGUGUCAUUAUAUAUGUUGUUCGUUAAAUUCUAAUAAGCAAGUAGGUAGACUACUUCAAGUGUCUUCGUAAUUGGUGUAUAAAUUGCUGAAUUUAUGAAAUAAUAAUACUUUCAAUGCGUGUGUUAGCCUUGUUUGUACCUAUUCCAAAUCGAUAGCGUAAGUAGUUCUCGAGAUAUUUAGCGACGUGACAGAGAGUCGCAUCAUGGGUUCCUCUUACAAACCCUAAAAAUAGCCGAAGAUAAAGAACUGCUUGACCCUUUUCCAGGCAGCACCAAUCUACAAGGAUUCCCCAAAAAAUCCAGAUAUAUUCUAAUUGAUCCAGCUUUGAUGAUUCAUUUAAAUGAAUCAUCAAAGCUUAAGCCAAGUCACAUUUCUUGAAAGUGCAAUCUAAUUUAACCUUAACACAUUUAGUGCCAAUGACCCGAUAGUUGGGUUUUCUGUUCGUAGUCGCUUUCCUCUACAAAGCGGGAAACCGCUGGGAUCGGCUACGAGCGUAGCGCUACGAAAACGUUGGUAGCGAAUGUGUUAACUCGGAUUGUAUGGGCGCGUAUGUGGUUGAUAAACCGUACUAUGCCUAGAAACGGGUGAAUAACAGUCGUUUAUGUUUGUAUUGUUGUCAUUGGCCUCUCGUGUGCCGCGAUUGUUUUUCUCAUGCGCAUACGAGCGCCUAGUGUCAGCGCGACUUUGUAGCUGGCCCGAAACGGCUUAUCCUUUGUCUAUUGUUAACUAAAACCGCGCGUGCCCCUACCUGCAAGAAAAGGGUCGUGUAAUUCUAAAUAGACACCUGAGCGCGGGCUAGUCCAACGCUCAAAAACCAGUGUAGGUUUGCUCUCCGAUAACGCGUCUUUGUUCUGCAUAUCGAGGACACAUUUUAGACUGGUUCGGUAGCGUUCGACUCGCCGGCAGUCAGUAACCGUAUAGGGACCACACAAGAAAUCACAAAUUAUUUUUCCAUUUGUUCAUUUUGAAUCUUAUUUCAGUUACCAUAGGAGUUCUAAUUCAAUAACCGCUUAAAACCAGACCCUUUUUUGCAGGUAAGUGGCACUUGCGGUUUUAGUUAACAAUAGAUAAAGGAUAAGCCGUUGGGGCCAGCUACAAAACGAAUAACUAUACCUGUGUAAUUUCAUUUGUUCCUCAUUUGUAUGUCUCCAAAUUACGAGACCAGUAAUUUGAUGAUAUCAUUUUUUUCCUAGUUAUUCCCAACCAGUGAAAACAACUUGUUGGUUAUAUUUGGGAAUAACUGAUUAAUUUCCUAUGUAAUAAACAAAAAAUGUAUAUUCGUCAUAUUUUAUUUGAUUGACUUGUUAAUUACGGUCUUCUCAGCAACAUUUCGGAGUUGACUCCGUGUUGGCAUUCAUAUGCUAACCAGAUUUAGUAUGUAAAACCAAGACGUCUUGUGUCACUGAGCUUAGAGUUAUUUCUACCUUUAAUAUUACAUCAUCAUAACUCUUAUUUUUAAUUCUGGUAUAUUGUAAGUCAUAUGUAAAUACACAUCUUUGUCUUU